rnacentral:lncRNA from 1 species
UUCACGUCAUCCCCAGCCACAGAAGACGAAUUAAGCUUGAAAGCCUCUGUCAAACACUCUCUAGCAACCUCAAUCCCCUCAGCAUCAACCCCACGUCCCAGUUCAACUAUUCCACACGAACCAAAUCAGAAAGCAUGCAUUGAUCGCAAUAAAAAAAAUCAAAAAACAAAACUGACAACAUAAACGAACAAAUUCUCUCUACCCUAUUAAACUUAAUACGAUUAAAAUGACAAUUGGCAACUCGAACCUAAUUAAUCACAACAACAAAAAACGACCCGGUUAAUAAAAUUGCUCGAUAUGCAUACAUAGGCAAUGAAGAUAAAAUCUUGCAGUGGCAAUUAAAUUGGAAAGUGAUUAUGAGAAGAAUAAUACCAGAAUUUAGGAAGCUGAGGAAGGCACGAACUAUGCGACGAGAGAGAGGAGAAUCGGUGGAGAUGUGAUUG